AAAGCAUCUAAGCGGGAAGCCUGUUUUAAGAUGAGGUUUCUUUUGAGGUUCCCCACAGACUAUGGGGUUGAUAGGCCGGAUCUAGAAGACGGGCAACCGUUGAAGGUGACUGGUACUAAUACACCAACAAAAAACACAACCAA
rnacentral:rRNA from 1 species